UACGUAGGGUGCAAGCGUUGUCCGGAAUUAUUGGGCGUAAAGAGCUCGUAGGCGGCCUGUUGCGUCCGCUGUGAAAGCCCGGGGCUUAACCCCGGGUCGGCAGUGGAUACGGGCAGGCUAGAGGUAGGUAGGGGAGAAUGGAAUUCCCGGUGUAGCGGUGAAAUGCGCAGAGUAUCGGGAGGAACACCGGUGGCGAAGGCGGUCUGCUGGGCCGUUGCUGGACGCUGAGGCGCGACAGCGUGGGGAGCAAACAGGAUU
rnacentral:rRNA from 1 species